GACGAACGCUGGCGGCGUGCUUAACACAUGCAAGUCGAACGGAAAGGCCCUGCUUUUGUGGGGUGCUCGAGUGGCGAACGGGUGAGUAACACGUGAGUAACCUGCCCUUGACUUUGGGAUAACUUCAGGAAACUGGGGCUAAUACCGGAUAGGAGCUCCUGCUGCAUGGUGGGGGUUGGAAAGUUUCGGCGGUUGGGGAUGGACUCGCGGCUUAUCAGCUUGUUGGUGAGGUAGUGGCUUACCAAGGCUUUGACGGGUAGCCGGCCUGAGAGGGUGACCGGCCACAUUGGGACUGAGAUACGGCCCAGACUCCUACGGGAGGCAGCAGUGGGGAAUAUUGCACAAUGGGCGGAAGCCUGAUGCAGCAACGCCGCGUACGGGAUGACGGCCUUCGGGUUGUAAACCGCUUUCGCCUGUGACGAAGCGUGAGUGACGGUAAUGGGUAAAGAAGCACCGGCUAACUACGUG
rnacentral:rRNA from 1 species